CGGGGGGAGCAAGCGUUGUUCGGAUUUACUGGGCGUAAAGGGCGCGUAGGCGGCGCAACAAGUCACUUGUGAAAUCUCCGGGCUUAACCCGGAGCGGCCAAGUGAUACUGUCGUGCUAGAGUGCGAAGGGGCUACUGGAAUUCUCGGUGUAGCGGUGAAAUGCGUAGAUAUCGAGAGGAACACCUGCGGCGAAGGCGGGUAGCUGGGCCGACACUGACGCUGAGGCGCGAAAGCCAGGGGAGCGAACGGGAUUAGAUACCCCGGUAGUCCUGGCCUUAAACGAUGGAUGCUUGGUGUCCGGGGUUACAUAGUCCCCGGGUGCCGGCGCUAACGCAUUAAGCAUCCCGCCUGGGGAGUACGGUCGCAAGACUG
rnacentral:rRNA from 1 species